rnacentral:rRNA from 1 species
UACGUAGGGUGCAAGCGUUUGUUCGGAAUCAUUGGGCGUAAAGCGCGUGUAGGCUGCUAUCUAAGUCGGGUGUGAAAUCCCAUGGCUCAACCAUGGAAGUGCAUUCGAAACUGGAUGGCUAGAGAGUGGUAGAGGAAGGUGGAAUUCCAAAGUGUAGAGGUGAAAUUCGUAGAUAUUUGGAGGAAGACCGGUGGCGAAGGCGGAUCUCUGGACAGUUCCUGACGCUGAGGCGGCGAAAGGCCAGGGGAGCAAACGGG